UGUUGAGUGCCGUUGGGGGCCUCCUGUAAGCUGCUUUUUUCUUGUUUUUCUUUAUUAUUUCCUUUGCUGUCUUGUGGUUGCUCGGGGAGUGUUCGGGACCGGGUGUCCGCUUUCUUGUUCAUCGCUUCGGGGGUUCGUUCUUGGAUGUCUUGCGGUUGGGUCGUUGGUCACUGUCUCCUUCAGGGUUCUGUCCACUAAUACUUCCUGAUAGCCAUGCUUCUUGGCUAUUGUUUUUAUGUUCUGUGUCUCUUUUUGGAGUGCCUCUUUUUCGCUGCAACUCGCUGCUUUCUUUGCUGCUGGGUGGGUGCCCUUGUUGCGAGGGACCUGAAUGCUGCUUUCUUGUGUCUCCAUUUGUCCCUUGAUCAUUCUGGGAUUGCUGGUGCAUGGGUCUGUUUUCGAUGUGCCUCUGUUGAAAGUUUGUUUCCUUCUGUUUUCAACUUUGCGUCUGGGUGGUGGACCUCUCUUUUACUCCUCUGCUCUAACUAGAAAAAAA
rnacentral:lncRNA from 1 species